AGGAAUAAACGAACAAUUGAGCAAGCAUUCAUUAAGCGCCUACCAUGUGCCCUGGGAACUAGUGUAUCGUGUUGGUAGUGUAUCGAGUCGCUCCAGUUACUAGGCUUCCAUUCCGAUGAUGACUUCAUUCUCCGAGCCUUCUCCUGUACUCCUGCUGAACUCAAGCAAGAUUUAUAGAGCAGUACAAGGGAUACAACUGAGUAAGAGUUUAAGUGGAGCCUCUCCUGCCCAAGUCUUCUGGCCUUGAACCACUUAUCAGGAGCUAACACUUACACAAGAAACAGCCUGUUUAGGAAGAAUGUGCCUUCUUCCACUGCUACAAUUCAAUAAAACCAAUACAUCAUGAUACAUCAGAGGAUCUCUCUGCCAAGGGAAAAUCAUGGGAAAGAGGAAAGAGCGAAGAUGUUGAACUCUGGUGCCUUGCAACAGGAAGCUGAGCAUCAUUAAUGGCAUCAUUAUUAUCAUUAUCAUUCUUACCCAUUGUGGGAUCAUUAGACUCAGAGCAUAGAUUUGGACUUGAAAAGGGACCUUGCUAGAACAACCACCUCUUUUACAGAUGAGGCCUGGAGGGUGGCUUGCCUGUGGUCAUUGGGUCACACGGUUCUAAGUGUAAGUGUAAGCUCUGGGAUCUGACUCAAAAUCGAGUGUUCUUUUUGUCAUAAUUAAUUACUAUUGGUAGUUCUUUAAAAGUAUUUUAAGAAAAAAUCCAGUGUUAAGCACAUUAAUUUAGGCUAUCAGGAUCUCUAUUUUUGUGUGUGUUAAAUUGAUGCAUUUGUGUUGUUUUUAUGCACAAUAAGGUGCCAGAAUUCAUUCAAUAGUUGGAGCAAGAAAGAACGAGGAUUCCUGAAUCAUACAAAAAUUCAGUUUCAUUUGUUCACAAUAGAUGAAUAAAACAACUAACAAACUUUCAGAUUAUAUAAAUCUUUACCUUGAAAAAACGUAACCAAGGAAAAACCCAAAAAUUUUUUUUUAAAAUGUGCCUUUUUAAUCCCUUGCAUAUUGUUGUUUUAGAUAUUGUUAAGAAUACACUGGAAGUCCUGACAAAGACUAUUUUUUAAAUUAGCACAGACAGGAAAUAUUGCAGUAUGAUAUUGUUAUCAUCUGGCACACUCCCUCUUUGGUAGGGGCCAUGGGGGGACAAAAAGAAUAAUAUGCUAGAUAAGGCAUUUGAUGACAUCAGUUCUAACUUUCUGCCACAGAUGUCUUAGUCUAGAUUAGUCAUAAAACAGGCAGUUCCAAAAUAUUCUAUAAAUGAUCAAUAUAAAUUCGAGUUAAAAUACUUAAACACUAGUGGUUUUCUCAUGUUUUUGUAAAAGGCUAUAUGACUCUGGGAAUAUCUUAACAUCUCUAGACUUCAGUUUUCCCACCUUUAAAAUGAGGGGGUUGAAUCAGAUGAUUUCUAAGGUCUCUUCCAGCUCUAAAAUUGUUUGAUUAUAUGAAUUCUCACCCAUUGUGGGAUCACCAAGUAUGAAAAAACUUCCUGAGACAGGAGCUUACCACUUACAUGUAAAGUUAGGGAUGCUGAUAGAAAAUGAUGCAGCAGCAUCAUUCAUUAAUGUUUAUUAAGGACCCUAUAACAAGUAUACUAUAACAAAUAUUAUGGGCUUCCUUUUCUCUCCUUAAUUUCAUGCAUGUUAAUUAAUUUUAGCCAGGUUUAGUCAAUAAAAAGCUUUAUGGUAUGGCUUAACAUGUUGCUAGUUUCACGUAUUUGAAACUGACAUUUUCUAUAGGAAUGGCAAUAGUUUUUAUAUUUUAAUAUGGUUUACUACGUGGGGUAUCUAGGUGGCACAGUAGAU